GAUGAACGCUGACAGAAUGCUUAACACAUGCAAGCCAACUUGAAUUUGGGUUUUUAACUUAGGUUUGGGUGGCGGACGGGUGAGUAACGCGUAAAGAACUUGCCUCACAGCUAGGGACAACAUUUGGAAACGAAUGCUAAUACCUAAUAUUAUGAUAAUAGGGCAUCCUAUAAUUAUGAAAGCUAUAAGCGCUGUGAGAGAGCUUUGCGUCCCAUUAGCUAGUUGGAGAGGUAACGGCUCACCAAGGCGAUGAUGGGUAGCCGGCCUGAGAGGGUGAUCGGCCACAAGGGGACUGAGACACGGCCCUUACUCCUACGGGAGGCAGCAGUGGGGAAUAUUGGACAAUGGACCGAGAGUCUGAUCCAGCAAUUCUGUGUGCACGAUGAAGUUUUUCGGAAUGUAAAGUGCUUUCAGUUGGGAAGAAACAAAUGACGGUACCAACAGAAGAAGUGACGGCUAAAUACGUG
rnacentral:rRNA from 1 species